rnacentral:lncRNA from 1 species
AUUUGAGUCAAUCAUGGACGUUAUAUUCAAAUUUGGUGGAUAUUUCAACCAUAAAAUCUUUCAUUUUCUCAACCGUGACAAUGAAUUUAACCUACUUAAAGUGAAAUUUGUAAGACAUAACAAGAAUUAUUUAUUGAUAGAAAUUGAAGAUAAUUCGUCGUUGAUGAAUAUAAAUGUAAUCUACACACAAUUUUGAGAAAUAGCAUUCUAGCUUGCUUUUGUGUUGACAGGACAAAUAUAGGUCGUGUACAAGUUAUAAUUUUUUUUUAUCGUAGGUUGAGUGCCAAAUCUUUGUAACUCAAAUAUUUACUUUAGAGAAUAUAACACUUGGAAACUCA